UGUGUGUGGCUGUUACCGUUUUAGUCUGACAAAACCUGACUCUAUACGCCUAUAGUGACACGCAGAAAGUGAAUGUAAAAAGGUUCAGUGACACGUGUGAAGUGUCACUAAAAAUUGUCUUUCCAGUCACCCUCAUUAGUGAUGCGCGUUGAAGUGUCACUAAACAGUUUUAGAGUUACUCAAUGUGUGUCACCAAAACCCGUUUUUCUAGGGAAUUUUUACAAGAUUAUACUAAAUUAUAUAUUUUAUUUACAAAAAUACGAUUAGACAUAUAUUUAAACUUUUAUACAGUUUAUGCUUUGUAUUUUUUCAUUUAUACUGUAAUGUUUUGAGAAAGGAAGAAGAAGGAGAAGGGAAAAAAUAAGAGAGAGAGGGGGUUGGAGGAGAACGUGGCUAGGAUUUUCAGAGGUUGGAUAUUUCGGAGAUGGGGUUCGCUUGAGCUCACGGCAGAGAGCGACGAGGGUAGACCGUAAAGCUCUGAGAGAGAAACAAAAAGAGAGCUAGGGCCUCCAUCGACAAUCUGCCAUUGUUACCGGUUGGAGAAAUAGAGGUCCAUUUGACUUGAAUUUUUGCAUCUUUACUUAUGAAAAAAUAUAAUAUAUGUUGAAUGAGUUAUUUAUUCUUUCUCUGAUAAUAGUAUGAAUGAACAAAGGGAUUGACUUAUUCAUGUGUGUCUACAAACACAUAUUAUUGACUCUUUUACAUGUAUCUACAAAGACAUACAUAUAUAAUUUUUUUGAAAUUUUAGAUCCAAAAGAUGAAUGGGUCUUUUUGUUUGCCCUUUAAAUUAUCUUUGUUUUUAUAAUUUUUUAUCUGUUACUUCAAUUGGGUGAUUAAAAUUAUGUUUUAGUUAUAGCUUAAAAUAUAUUGGAAUAUGCUUGUAUAUAAUGUGUUUGAUAAAAUGCUUGUUAGAACCAAUUUAAAAUUAACAUGCCUAUUAACAAAUAUACAUAUAUAUAUAUCAUGCUAAUUUGUUAAAAAUAUUUCAGAGUUGCCAAGAAAAAAAUAAUCAUAUAUGCUUAUUAUUAGAUCCAUGUGUUUUGGGGUUGAUUUCUAGUUGAGUAAUUUUUGUAAUACAAUUGGUUGAUAUGUAGGUGAUUAAUAGUUUUUUUUUUUUUUUUAAUUUUAUGGUGAUUGUAUCAAUGUUGUUUUUAAGUUGCUUUUGGCUUGGGUACUAAUGUAUUGAUGUUUGGUUGAUUUGUAUAUUAAAAUAGAGUUGUAUUUUAAUUAUUUAUUCGUUCAUAUUUAGUUGUACAAUUGUUAGAAUAUCAAAUCAAAUUAUCCUAAAUGAGUAUAUGUUUAUUUUUUUUUUUUUGGUACAUAUAUUUUUAAGUUGAAUUACAAGUGAUAUUUAGUUGUUUCUAAGUUUAUUUUAUUUUUCAACAAAAGAAAAAGUUUGUUUGUUUUUCCUGAGGUUAUUAUUUAGUUGUUUGUUUGUUAUUAUUUAGUUGUUUAAAAAAAAUAACUUUCUAUUUAUUUUUUAUGGAUACAUAUAUUUUUGAGUUGGUGUACAAGCAUUUUGUAGUUCCUUUUAAUGUUUUUUUUUUUUAAGACUAUUGAUAUUUUUUUUUUGAGUUAAUGCAACGUGUCAUCCUAUUUAAAGUGUGUAUUAAAGUGAGGUUAUUUUUUAGUUGUUUUUUUACUGUUAUUAAGUUGUUUAACUAAGUUAAAAAUGAUUGUGUAUUUAGUACUUUAUGGACGUGUAUAUUUAUCAGUUGGUGUUGAAGUGUUUUGUAAUGAGUAAAUGCUUUUAAAUUUAGUUUAUAAAUUACAAGUGUUUUUUUUUUCUUGGAGUUGAUUAUGCAAUCUCUGAAAUUAUUUCAUGAUGCCUAUUUAUUUUGCAUAUUACAGUAUAAUUGUUAUAUAAUUUUUUUUUUGUUAUCUAGUCGUGUUCAAAAAAAAAAAAUGAAUGUCUAAACAUAUUUAAUUUAUCAUGGACACAUAUUAAGAAUGUUGUUUUAUUAUUUUUUUUAAGAUUAUUUGUUUUUUUUUUAAUUUAACACAGUGUGUUGGUGCCCAAUAACUUUUUAUUAAGAAUGUUGUUUUAUUAUUUUUUUUAAGAUUAUUUGUGUUUUUUUUUCAAUUUAACACAUUGUGUUGGUGCCUAAUAACUUUUUAUUAAAAUAGAGUUGUUAUCUAAUUAUUUGUGCGUUGUUAUUUAAUUGUUCAACCAAGUAAAAACUAACUGAGUAUAUGUUUUAUUUUUGAUAGAUGCAUAUUUUUUUGAGUUAAUGUACUAGUAUUUUGUAGUUUUUUUUUUCGAGAUGAUUUAUGUGUUGUUUUUGAGUUUCUUUUGAGUUGAUGAAAUUUGUUGUUGCCUAAUUAAUUUACAUCUUAAUAUGAAAUUGUUAUUUAUUUAUAUUAAAGUGAGGUUGUUAUCAAAUUAUUUAUUUUACAUAUUUUUUUGUUAUAUAGUCUAUGUUUUAGUUUUUAUGUUACAUAUUUUUUGAGUUUAUAUACAAGUAUUUUGUAGUUACUUUUUUUUCAAGUUAAUUUUGGGUUUUUGUGUCUUUAUUUUUAUGUAUUAUUAUUUUUAAUUUUAAGUUUAUGUGUCGUUAUUUUUAUGUAUAAUUAUUUUUAAAUUGAUUUGGGUUUAAGUACAUUUAUUUUUAUAUGUAAUUAUUUUUAAAAAAAAAUUCAAAAAAUUUUAAAGUUAGUUUUGGUUGUUUUCAAGUUGUUAUUUUGUUGCUAAUUAGUUGUUGUAUUGAGAAAAGAAGUCCAACACGCUCAAGUGCACUUUGUCCAAAGUUGACACGUGGCAGCCACUGGCACGUUCUGACGCUGUAAUAUUGCGUGCGUCAGCGAACUUUGAUGGUUUUGUCCCCUCACUCGCGUGUGAGCCUCACUCGCCUGCAUAGUCUACUUGUGUAUUUUACUUUCUCCUUUCACAAGUGGGUUUUAUCUCCAACCGUAUAUUUGUAAAUAAAAAACUUUGUAAAUUGUAUUUUUGAAAUCAACAAAUAGCAUAAAUAUUUAUUUUCUCCUUAUAAUUGUAUUAAUGUUUAUUUUGGGUAGUAUUAGCUUAAAAUUAAAAACAUCCCUUUUUCUAGUAGCAAUUUUAAAUAUAAAUUAAUCUUAAAUUACAAAAUUAUUCUUUUUUAAAAUACAACUCAUUGGGCACCACAAGGUCGUGCCUAAUAGUAUGGUUGAUAGUAUUAACCAUCUCAAAUGGGCAAUACAUGUGUCAUGCCAUUAGAUCAGUCAGUUGGCACGAUAUUAUUUGUUGUGCCCGUUAAAGUUUUUAGACACGAACCUAUUGAUACAACCAAAAGGGCAGGACAAAUCAUGCCUUCGUAUCUAUGGGCACUAAAAAUUGAAUUUGUUGACACUAAUUUUGUCAUACGAAUACCAUUUUUUGCUUGUAAUUAAAUGGAAAAGAUAGCUCUUGUGACAAGGACUACGUUUGUACUUAUCUUGGCGGGCGGUAAGCUUUGACAGUAAUGAAAAAUGGCCAUAAAUUUUGGUAGAGCCAAGAAUUUCCAAACAUUAUCUCUUGACGGAAAAUAGUGUGAUCAGGAACGAAGUAACUCCAAGAUUGAGCUCCUUUGUUGACAAUAAUCGGCUGGUAGUGCUUAUGAGGGCUUGCCGACAUUAAUGGUGUAGGGUGGAGGGCUGGCCAAGCAUUUUGGGGACUCGUGCAAAAUUUUAAAAUUGGACUCUUUAAAAAGAAAAACCGUAUACAUUAAAACUACAAUUCUAUUACUAACUUUUUUUAAAAAAAAAAUACUAAAAUUUGGGUUAAUUUUUACAAAAAUACUGUCACACGGAAAAGUUUUCAAAACUACUGUGUUUUUAUAAAAUACUAGUAGAACACAGAACAGAAUAACUCAAAAACAACAGUAGAACAACUAAAAAAUACCAGUAGAACACCAGUGAAAACUCAACACAGUAUACUGCAGUAUGAAACUAAUAAAAAAAUACAGUAAAAAAGUAAAAAAUACCGCCUGACAGUAUUUUUGUAAAAAAAUGACAAAAGUUAGUAUACCAUGUAAAUUUCCCAAAAGAAAUGUAGAACUUACAUGGAGUAUGGGUUUUUUUAAACAUUUUAUGAUAAAUAUGACAUAUUUAACUAUGGACCUUUUAUAUGACUUUUUUAAACUUCGGGCAUAGUCUAUGGGAUUUUAAAGCCCAUACGGCUGGCAUGAUUUUGUUAAAAGCCCAUAUUGUGUGUAUUGUAGUUUCUUUAGGUCAUUUUAGUAAUUUUAAGUGUUUAAAUUUUUUGGUUCAAUUUUUUGAACAUAACCGUUUAUUUUUAGAGGGGUUUUGCAUGUAAUCAUCACGAUUUGAUGGUUGCUUCCCUAUUUUAACUUACUUUUUCAGUUUUCAAUUCAUGCCUAUAAACUCUAAACCGCCUAUACUAUUAUAUCUCUCCCUCUCUUUUUUCAUUUCAACAUUUAUUCAUUUUCCUCUUUCCUUUUCCUCUCUCGUUUCGUCUCUGUGUUCUUUCUUUCUUUUUUUUUUUUUUUUUGCUCUCGAUUUUUGGAGGGCAUUGCAGCCAUUGUUCUUCGGGUAAGAGCUUAGGGUUGGAGCAUCCAUUGUUCGUGUGUUCUUCAAGGUAAGCAUGUGUUUUUUACUUUUUUUUCUCUGAUUUUAGGUUUUUUAAACUGUUUAUUUUUUGUGGGUUUGUUGAAGUUGCAUUGGUUCUUAAUCCUUAUUACAUUCUUAGAUUUUCGUUUUUAUUUUUUUAUUUUGAAUUUUCUACUUGAGUGAUGCUUAAUCCGAAGAGAGAGUGAGAAAAAUGAGAAUAUAAGAGAGUAGUUCAUUGAGAGAAAAAUAUGAGGAUUAAGAUAGAAAUUAGGAGAUUCGUUGGAAAAUUAUCUCAACCCAUUUUAUGUUUUAACAUUAUUAGUGUGUUGUUGUUCUUGUUUUUUUAAAAAAAUUUAAUCCGAAUUUAUUUUUGUGUUGUUGUAUUUAUUCAUAUUGGAUUAGUUGAGUAUUUUGUGUUUUUGGUUUUGUUUUAUGGUUUAGAAUUUUGUUGUUUAGUUUUAUUUUUUUUAAUUUUUGUUGAUAUUCGGUGUUGUUGUUGUGUUUUUUUUUUUUUUUAAAUUUGGUUGGUUUUUGUGAAGGAAGUUGCUAGUGUUUUCUUCAGUGGUGCGUUGAAAGAUGACGAAGAUUAUGUGAAGAUAACUCUUGUAUACUUCUUUGCUGGGUAUUUGUAUGGUUAUCCCCAAGGCAAAAAGAUUGACAACUUUAUAUUUACUAUGGUUAAUGGGGAUGAUUACAUUGAAGUGUUUAACCGGUUUUGGAUGGGGAAAAUUAUUGUGGGAAAAGACUUUUUAUCACUUGAAGAUUGCAUUGAAAGAUGGAAACGAUACCUUUGAACAGCUUGCUAAGAAAAAGAUGAUUGAGAAGGGUUACAAGCUUAAAGGAUUUCCUCUUGCGUUUCUUAUUUGGCUAUACGAGAUCAUUCCGUCUUUGUCACCUCGAUUUUGCAAAAGAAUCAACAACAAGAUUCCUCGUGUUCUGAAUUGGGAGAAUAGCCCUACAUCAGAAUUUAGUGAGUUGAUUCAGGGUGUGUUUAACUAUCCAAAAGUAAUUUUUUUAUUCAAAUUUCAUUUUUUUGGUUAUUGUUUGUUUAAUUUUUCUUUGGUUUUUUUAAAUUGUUUUGUGUUUUUAUCUUUCCAGAUUGUUAUAAAGGAUUUUGUUGCUUUGAGUAGUGAAAAGUCUCAAAGUCUUUUUUCUAAAUUUAAGUUUGAUCCUAAAUAUGUAUUGAAGAGGAUUGGUGGUGUUGUGUCCUCUGAUGAAGUUAAUGAUGAGGUCAAGGUAUUAAAAACCGAUUUCUAUGUGUAUUUCUUUUGUGUAUUUUGGUAAUUAUAUGUUUAUCAUUACUUACUUUCAUGUUUUUUAUGUAUAAUAUUCAGGUUUCUCGUGGAAAGUUGGACCAAAUUUGUGUUGAACUGAAUUCUAUAAAAGAGUGUGAACAACAAAUUAAGGAUGGUAUUUCUAGUUUGAGGAUUGAGUUUUUGAGUGAGUUUGCUAAAUUAGCAGAAAUUAUCAAUGGAUUGAAGAAGAAGAAGGAGAAUGAUGGCAGUUCUAAGAAUUCUGAAUUUUUUUCAUCCCCUAUAAGAGAGGUAACUAGUUUCUUUGUUUCGUGUUAUUUGAUUAUAGGUUUGUUAUUUUUUGUUUUAUUAUAGUUUUUUUAUCAUCUUGUUGAAACUAGUUUCUGUAUUGGAUGUUUUGUUAUAUGAUUUCCCUAGUUAGUUGAAACAGGUUUCUGUAUUGGGUUGGGUUGAGAUACGUUUUUUCAAUUUCUUGAAACUGGUUUCUGGUCUGUGUUUAGGUCUCUGUUGCUGUGUUUUUUUCUAUAGGAAACCAGUUUCUGUAUUUAUGUUUGAAAUCUGGUUUUCAAUUAAUUUAUUGUUCAGGCAUACUAUCAGGAUAUAUCGGAUGAUGGUGGUGAGUUACAGUUGUCCGUUCAUUCUGUUCAAGUUAAGGUACAAGCUUUUUACAUUUAUAUUUUGCUUGUUUGAAUUUUAUUGUUUGUUCUAAAUAUUUUUUCUUCAAUUUUGUAGGAGGAAAAGGACACUUUGAAUUUUAAAAAUGUGUUUAUCGAUCCUGAUUUUCUUAAGGGUGUGGUUGAUAGCACUGUUAAGAGUGCUUUGAAGACAGAUGAUGUUUCAUUUCAUGAUGAUAGUGAUAAGUUGAGUUUGGUUUUGUACGAUAAAUCAUAUUUGUCUCCGGAGAUUCAGAAGAGGCAGCCAAAACCAAGCUCUAUUGUUCUGUCGCCAUAUGUUGUGGACUUUGGGUCUUCUUCAUCUUCAAAGGAAGACUUAAUGAGGAUUGUGCAAGAUGAUAAAUUUAUUGUGCAAGAUGAUAAAUUUAUUGUGCAUGGAAUCAAUCCUUUUAAAGAUAAAAUUAGUUAUAAUACUGGUCCUGAGCAGUGCGUUAAGUUUUCCAAUUUUAUUGAUGAGAACAUAGUCAUGAAUAGGGGUGUGAAGAAGUACUCCGAUGCGGACAACAUCUUAUCUCCACCGAUGGAUUUUUCUUUCAUUGAAAUUUUCGAGAAGAUGUGGUUCUACCAGCUCCAUGCUUGUGGUGAAUUUUUGUGUGACAGUGUAAGAAACUAGUUUUUUUUUAUUAAUUUUUAUGUGUUUGAUAUUUGUGUAGUUUAUAAUUCUGUUAUCGGUUCUUUCAAAAACUGGUUUCUCAUACAUGUUUUUAUUGCUGUUUUGUAGCAUUUAGAUGUGGUAUUCUAUCCUUAGGAAGAAGAUUAAGCAAGAUGAUACUUUGAACCAAAGGAUUACCACUACUGAUUGUUUGUUUGAUCAAGUCAUAUGGAAUUCAUACAAUCAGUUCUUGAAAUCGGGUUCUAAUCCUUCUAAGAUUGACUUUGAUAAUGUCAUUCCUAGAUACAUUGUUGGUGAGUAUUUGUUUUGCAAUACUCCUUGGGUGCUUACUGACCAUGUUCUUAUAUAUGUCUAUAUUCAAAAGCAAAAACAUUGGAUUUUGGUCCAUUUUGAUAUCAAGGAGAGGAUGUUGAGCGUAUAUAACUCCAUUUCUGGUGCUCUCAACAAGAAACGCGCCUUGGAUCAUGUCAAAGCUUAUUCUACUAUGCUGCCGUUUUAUUUGGAGUAUCUUGAUGUUUAUUCUUCUAGGUCGGAUCUUAAUUUGGUUCAAGGUCCAUAUUAUGUUGGGAAAAGAGAACCUUUGAAUUUCAAGUUCAUAGAUGGGCUUCCAAGUCAGGUCAAUAGGUAAUUCUUCCUCUUUUCAUCAUAUAUUUUUUUAAUUGAAACUAGUUUUAUGUUUUGUUCUGUUUAUAUUUUUUGUCAGUUUUUGUUUUGUUUGCACAAAAACCGGUUUUUUUAUUUGAAUUCAUUUUUUUGUUUUAUUGCAGUGACUGUGGAUUGUUUGUCAUCAAGUUUGCUGAAUUUUUCAUUCGUGGAAAAAUUGAUGACAUUCCAGUUAAGAUGUCUGAUUUGGUAGCAGUAUAUAGAGAUGAUCUUGCUAUCAGUUUGUUUAUUCAUGCUAGGAGGAAACAAAUUGGUGGUUAUAUAACUGAUGAUGAAGUGUUGAAAAAGAUGAAGAAAUCAAAGGAUAAUGCAAGUGAUAAGGCAAAGGUCAAAGGGAAGGAUAUUGCAAAGGGAAAGGGCAAAGCGAAAUGAUUUCAGAUGACUGGAUAGAUGUUUAUAAUAAUUACAUUUUUUUUUUGGAUUUAUGUUCUUAUGUUUACAAGAAACUGGUUUUGUUUGGUUUUUUUUUUUUUUUUUUUUGUAUUUGGUAUUUAAAGACGAUGUUAUAUAGUUUUUUAGUGUUUUUUUUAAAAGACUUGUUACUUAGUUAAAGUGUUUGUAUUUUUUUUUUUGUAAGACUGGAAGUUUGAAUGAAUCAGCAACACUUUGUAUUAUAAGUUUUUAGUUGAUGGCUUAAUUUUUAUUUUUUUUUGAAACUGGUUUUUGUUUUACUAUUAAUUUCGUUUUGGUUUCUUUUGAAUGUACAGUUAACUGAUUUUUGUUUUUGUUUUGUUUUCUUUUUGUAGGUGAUAACAAUGGCAAUAUGUGUUUUUAUUUAUUGGUAAGUGGCAAUUGUUUUUUUAGUAUACUUUUGUCAAUAACUGGUUUCUUGUUUAGUAAAAUUUAUUCUUUUUCAUGUACCUUUUUGAAAUGAUCUAUGAUAUUAAGAGAAAAUCUUUAAAACAAUGAUUAUUUAAAUAGAUAAAAAUUCAAAAGCCUAAAAAUGUUUGUUGUAUGUAUCUUAUUGAAAAAAUUGUAUUUUGUCCAACUUUAUUCAAUGCUGAGAAACCAGUUUUUAUAAAACUGUCAAUCAAUAUCUAUUUAUCUUGUAGCUGAUCAAUCAUUCUUCUUUGACUCGUUGCUUUUGUUAUUCUGUUUUGGAGGUUUGUAAAACUGUGAAUUAUUGCACGUUCUUCGGUUGUGGCCAACUUUUUCGCACCUUGUGCAUUUCAAGACAACUUUUGGUUCUCCUUUUGAUCUUCUUCUUUUCUUUCUAGGCCUCCCAGCUGGUUUUCUUGAUUUUGGUGGCCACACUAUUCUUUCCAUGCUCUCAGCUAUUGCAUGUGAGCAUGGUAUCUCAUCUAGUUGGAACCUUCUGCAGCUGCAUGUUCUUUCCAGUAUGUUGAUUGUGAAAUCCCCUUUUUCUUGCACCUUUACUUGGUAUUGGAUUGUUGUGAUUGCAAUGACCUGUUUUUUUUUUUUUUGAAAUAUAAAAUAAGUGUUAGAAACUGGUUUUUCAUCAUGAUCAAGAAACAUGUUUUUUAAUAACUGUUAUUUUCUAUGAUUUAGUUAUUGUACCUGGUAUUUCAUUGCUUUAAGCAGAUUGUCUCUCAGUAGUUUUUUAGCAUCUGAUGCUACUUCAGUAAAUAUUCCAUGUGCUUCAUUGCCAUUUUUCCACAUUCAUUUUUGUACAAGGCUUCUAAAGCACUCAAUGAUUGUUGUAAUAGGUAAUGAUCUUGCUGCUAGGAUCGCCAAAUUUAUUGAUUCUGCUAUGUUUGAAGUCAUCAUUGUGUACCUUCUUGUAGGGUAGUGGCUCUUGGUCCAAACCUCAUGUCCAAUUUUCUCAAGGUAUGGUCUUAUUCGUUUGUCGAUUCUAUCUAUCUCUGCCAUGUAUCGCUCGAAUGAUGUCAGCUUGUACGUCUUUGCUGCCUUUACAAAGUUUAUGGUCAUAUCGUCUCCAUGCACUCCAAAGUUUGUUUUGAUGUUGUUUAGUAGGUGGAAGAUGCAUGCUCCGUGGAAGUGGUUUGGGUAGACAUUGCUCACUGCCUUCUCUAUACUUUUAUGCCUGUCUGAUAUUAUUGUCAAACCUGUUCACGGAAACCAGUUUUUACAAGAUCAGUAGGUAUGUGUUGGAAGCCUAAUCAUUUUUUUUUUGUUUCUUUUUUUAGAAUCGUAAUCAUUUUUUUUUAUUGUGGAAACCAGUUUCUAGAUUUUUUUUUAUUUUUUAAUGUUAUGGCAUAACAAGUAUUUAAUAUCUUUUCUGUUUGUAAUUUGUAUGUAAAUGAAGUAAAAUUUUUAGAUUGAAUUUACAUUUAAGGAAACUAGUUUUUUCGAUAGCAUACCUUCUCUAUCUUCGAAUGUUUCCCUUAGUUUUGUGAAGAACCAUUCCCAAGAGCAGUCAUUUUCUGAGUCUCCUAUCCCAAAUGCUAGAAUGAAUAUGUUGUUGUUUGCAUCCAUUGUAGAAGUUGUGAAUAGGGUUCCUCCAAAUGAUGUUUUUAAAAAAUGUUCCGUCAGUUACAAUGACUGGCCUGCAAUGUUUCCAACCUUCUAUGGAGUUUGCAAAUGCUAGAUACAAAUAUUUGAAAUGAUCCUUCUUAUCAGUUUCCAAUUGUGCAAUUGUUCCAGGAUUUACUACUUUUAGCAUGUGCAGGUAUUUUGGUAGUUGUUGAUAAGAUUCAUCUUGCCUUCCUCUUGCCAACUCCAAAGCUUUCUCUCUUGCUCUCCAUGCUUUUUGGUAGCUCAUUGACACUUCAAAAUCAUCAAUCAUGUCUAUCAUAAUGUCAUUUGGUCUGUGAUUUCUUUUGAUUGACAGAAAUUUCUUUUUUAUCAUUUCUGCAAUCAUGUUGCAGUUUGCCUGCUUGUGGUCGCCCAUUACAAUAUCCAGUGAGCAGUUGUGAUCUUGGACAUAUUUUCUUACUUUGAAUGUUGAGGUACUCUUGAACUUUGAAGCUCUCAAAAACCAGUUACAGUUAUCCACACAAGUCACCACAUACUCUCUUAGUUCAGAUCUUUUGGUUUUAAAUUGGAAAUUGUUGAUCAUAGCAAAAAAAACCCACUGCAAUCUUCAAUAUCUUCCUGUCCUGGUAAAUCUGUCCUUUUUCAAUGUUGAAAACCUUAUGAUCUGUUAUUAUUUCUCUUUCUUCUUCAUGUCUUUUUCCUCUUGUGUUCUUGUGUUUUCUCAAUGAUACAAUCAGCAACACUAUCAGCUACUUGAAAUAUGUUUGGUAAUGCAAGUACCUCACUUAUUUCUGAAGUUUCAUCAUCGUAUUCCAUACAGUCGUAAGUUGGCUAGUUUGUUAUUUGUAAAACCAGUUUCUGAACAUCUGUAUCUUGUCUUACGGCUUCAGUUUCUGGUUUUUGUUGAGCAAUGAUCUGGAGUCUUGUCUCGUCUACUGUUGUGAUGCAGAGUGGAGACUCACUAACUGCAUUCUGUGUCUUUCUCAGUUGUAAGUAGAACAUCAGUGAGUUGUCACUUAUUAUUUUUAUUGGUGGUGAGUCUGGGAAUAACUGGUAAUGCAUUUCUAUUGUUGUGUUGCAUUUGAUUUCAUUUCUUACCAAUUCCAACAAACUUUUUAGAUCACAGUUUGUUGGUAUUAGUAGUCCAGUCAUUAUGUAGUCUUCAUACUUUUUAUCCUCUUUCCAUUGCCCUCCAUAUUUGACCACACAUUAUUGAGUCCAUUCCUGUACAAUAUUUUGAUAACUGUUAGUUUUAAAAAUCUUAAUGUAUUAAGAAACCUAGCUUUUUUUUUUUUUUUUGUUUUUAUUUUGUAUUCAAAUUAUAAGUGAUUUUUUCACCAUAUAUUUGAGAAACCAGUUUCCAACAUUAAUUUAUAUUUGUUUAUGUUUAACAGAUAAUAUCAUUUUGAAAACUGUUAGUUAAAAUUUAUAAUGUAUUUAGAAACUGGUUUUAUAUUCAUAAUUUUCAGGAAUCUUUUCAUAAAACUAAAUUUUUCAUAAUAUUUAAUUUUCAGUUUCUUUUGUCUUUUGUUUGUGAAACUUCAUAGUCUCAAUCUAGAUUGAGUAUAUAUGAACAUUUCAUUAUGAAGCAAUGCAAGAUCAUAUAGUUUUGGUAUGAAAUUUAUUUCAAUCUAGAUUUUUUUUUUCUUUUAAGUUUAAAUUGCAAAUGCACAUAUUCGGUGUAUUUCUCAAUUUAUAUAUAUAUACAUAUAAUAUUCAUAGCAUAAUUUAUAUAAUUGUACCUGUAUUUCUUUUGAUCGCUGUUGACGGGGACGAUCGGAGUUAACUUGAUUGUUGAUUGAAUUUUGUGUGUGCAGGUUGAUCGGUGCUUUGAGCUUAAGAUUUCAUUUUCUGCUCUAAGGUGAGAGCUUCAUUGCUUUUCAGGUGUCGAUGUUGAUGGUUGCUUCUGUCGGUAUGGCCAUGGUUGAAUUUUAUAUUUUCUGAGUUUUUCAGGUCAGUGUUGGUUGAAUCAGAGGAAGAAUUUGCGCAUGGAGAAGAGAGAAAGUGAAUUGGAGAAGAUGGAGAAGAAGAAUCGCAUGCCAGAGAGAAUCGUAGAAGAGAGAGAGAGAAUCGCAGGAAAGAGAGAGAGAGAAUCGCAGGAGAGAGACAGAAUCGGUGUAGAGAGAGAGAGAGAAUUUUGUUUAUAUAUGGUUAAAAAUAAUAAAUUUCCUUGAUUUCAAAUUAGAUUCAGUUUUUAAGGUAUUUUAUGGUUUUUUUUAAAAAAAAAAAUCCCAUAUUUGUAGUUUGAUUGGUUAGUUAAUGUCAUAUUGUGUGGCAUUUAGUUUUCUUGCCAUAUUUAUUAUAACAUGGUUCAUUUUUCCCAUAUUUUUGAAAAUAUCCCAAAAAAAAUUCGUCAUAAAUUUUCAAUUAUAAAUUUUUUAUUUAUGUAUAUAUGAGAAAAAAAAAAGAAAUAAAUAAGCCUUUUCUUUAAAAAAUAA